GACGAACGCUGGCGGCGUGCCUAAUACAUGCCAGUAGAACGCUGAAGAGAGGAGCUUGCUCUUCUUGGAUGAGUUGCGAACGGGUGAGUAACGCGUAGGUAACCUGCCUUGUAGCGGGGGAUAACUAUUGGAAACGAUAGCUAAUACCGCAUAACAAUGGAUGACACAUGUCAUUUAUUUGAAAGGGGCAAUUGCUCCACUACAAGAUGGACCUGCGUUGUAUUAGCUAGUAGGUGAGGUAAUGGCUCACCUAGGCGACGAUACAUAGCCGACCUGAGAGGGUGAUCGGCCACACUGAGACUGAGACACGGCCCAGACUCCUACGGGAGGCAGCAGUAGGGAAUCUUCGGCAAUGGGGGCAACCCUGACCGAGCAACGCCGCGUGAGUGAAGAAGGUUUUCGGAUCGUAAAGCUCUGUUGUAAGUCAAGAACGGGUGUGAGAGUGGAAAGUUCACACUGUGACGGUAGCUUACCAGAAAGGGACGGCUAACUACGUG
rnacentral:rRNA from 1 species